CAGCAUUCUUGGAGACAAAUCUGUUCUUCAUGAAAUGCAACAAGCUUGUUUCCCCUUUAACCUUUUUAUAUUAUCAUACUAAUUGUCUUUUUUUUUUUUUCCUGAAUAAGAAAAUGAAGCCAUCUCAAAUUAACAGACCUUCAUAAUACAGCAAAAAAGAGAAAGGAAUACAUCUUUCUGUUGAGCAGCCGAGCAGUCGUACAGCCUCAGCGUAUUUAUUUUUUAUUCUUCUUCUUUAGAUUCCUGCCAUCUUUUGACCUUGUCCUAAUCUCUCUUGAACUCAACCUUUAAAAAGAACAGAGAGUUCUGUUUAGCUAUCUGGAGUUUUGCAUCACUACUCAUUUUUUAGCAGUGCAUCCUGUUGAUAUACCAUGAGUCAGUUGGUUUUCCAUCUGAAUAUUUUUGAUAUUUUCUUAGCAGCUCAUCUAACAUCAGACACUGGGUCUAAAAAUCACUGAGAUCAAACUUGAGUUGUUGCUCAUUUUCAACGGGUUUUGUAUUUGAUUAACAUUAAAAACCCUCUGGCCAUAGACCUCAAAUAAAUACCCCCUGCUGAUAUUAGCAGUAAAUGCAUAUAAUUUUAAUCAAGAUAAAAGUUAUUCUUGGGGAAGCUGGACAUUGAACACUGCAUCAACUGCUCAUAGUACUGCAUCUUUGGGCCCUUAAGCUUUCCUCAUUUUUUGCACGUUGCAGCACCAGCCUCUUCCUUACACUCUGUUGAGCACCAUGGGCACAAACUUUCCCUUACUGUCAGAGCAGGACCCCGCUGCCUUGCUGGUGGUGUGGUGCUCUGGUAUCCAAAGGGCUGUAUUGGCCAGGAGUCCAACCAUGUGAACACUUCGGGUUUUCUGUCAAUCUCUCCAAGAACAGGUGCCCAUCAUUUCAGUUUUCAAAACACCACUGCAUUCACCUGUUUAAUUCUGCACACCCAAUUUGUCUCUAGUUGCUUGCUUUCACUUAUACAUGUCUACUUCCUUCCUCCUGUUCUGUAUUCCCAGGUUUUGAAGGGCUCUGAUGGAAGUCAGUAUUGCAUCUCUGAGUAACAGAAACUUCUCCUUUUAAUCUGUGCCACCAGUUUCCUUGUGAUUUUGCUUUUGGAUGUUGUGUUGAGGGACGUGGUUUAGCGAGAACCAUUGGUGAUGGGCGAAUGGUUGGACUGGAUGAUCCUGUGGGUCUUUUCCAGCCUUAGUGAUUCUAUGAUUCUAUGAUUUCCAUCACAGACACGUAACACUUGCAUCUGUUCACUUCUGCAUGGAAUUGUUGUAUUUAUAAAACAGUCCAUGCAAAGCUACACACGCUUUGACUGCAGUGCCCCACUUCUAUGGACUGCCUCUAUCUCUACAAAGCAGUUUGUAUAUCACCCAGCCAUUUCUCUGAUGAAGGAGGAAAGAAAAUACAGAAAUGAGGCAUGAGAAGAUGAAGCUCAUGCAGCCUGGGAGGGCUUCGUGCUCACUGAAGCACAGCGCUCUACAGAGCCUUGAACAAAUCCCUGUAUUUUC
ensembl:lncRNA